GCUACUUUUAUAAAUCCAGAUCUUGAUUAGCUGUUCCUACCUUUAUUUUAGUGAGAAAUAAGGGUAUGAAAUUUGCCAAGUGAUCGAUAACUGUAAGAGGCCUCAAACAUGCCCUUGCCGAUGUCAGGAGUCUGCAUUUCGUGAAAGCAAGGGCCAGGAGUUCGACAGGCAGGAGCUGAUCCUGAUGAUCCACAGCAAGUCUCAGAGCCCGUGACUUCGAGACUUGUUCUACCAGCUGAAGAGGGUUUAAUCUGCUUCCUCUUCCCAAGCAGGAAAAGUUCAUCUUCUGUGACCACAAGUCUUCUGUUUACUCAAAUUAGUGUCACAGCUGUGUGAGAUAUUUUCACUGUUGAAGAAAUGAAGCUGGCAGUUGGCAACAGGCACCAGGCACAUCCCUGAGAGCUGGACAAGGCACUUUGAACUGGACUUGAUGCCUGGGACGUUGGUGGAAGGAGCAGUAAAUGAGGAUAAUGAAUGUAUAUGGGAGAGGGAAGGAGAACAGGCAGAAAACUCCUCAGAGAUCUGGCAGGCUCCAAGCAGCCUGAGGGAAAUGGAUUAGUGAGCACAGGACAGUACUGUGUGACUACUUCUCAGCACUGUUAAAAUGUGGAAAAAUGCAGCAGGGAAGAAGCAGCUCUGGAAAUGAGAAAGGAGGAGAAGAAUGCAGGACACAAGGGAUGGAACAAGAAGAACUAGGGAAAAAAAAAAUUCCAAAUGGAAAAAGUUGUCUAAGUUAAUGAAAGAUAGAUGGAUUCCCAUGUUGCAAACAAAUGUUGAGGGAAACUAUUUUCUCUUU